rnacentral:rRNA from 1 species
UGUGAGCUCGAUGAGUAGGGCGGGACACGUGGUAUCCUGUCUGAAUAUGGGGGGACCAUCCUCCAAGGCUAAAUACUCCUGACUGACCGAUAGUGAACCAGUACCGUGAGGGAAAGGCGAAAAGAACCCCGGCGAGGGGAGUGAAAAAGAACCUGAAACCGUGUACGUACAAGCAGUGGGAGCCUCUUUUAUGGGGUGACUGCGUACCUUUUGUAUAAUGGGUCAGCGACUUAUAUUCUGUAGCAAGGUUAACCGAAUAGGGGAGCCGAAGGGAAACCGAGUCUUAACUGGGCGUUAAGUUGCAGGGUAUAGACCCGAAACCCGGUGAUCUAGCCAUGGGCAGGUUGAAGGUUGGGUAACACUAACUGGAGGACCGAACCGACUAAUGUUGAAAAAUUAGCGGAUGACUUGUGGCUGGGGGUGAAAGGCCAAUCAAACCGGGAGAUAGCUGGUUCUCCCCGAAAGCUAUUUAGGUAGCGCCUCGUGAACUCAUCUCCGGGGGUAGAGCACUGUUUCGGCAAGGGGGUCAUCCCGACUUACCAACCCGAUGCAAACUGCGAAUACCGGAGAAUGUUAUCACGGGAGACACACGGCGGGUGCUAACGUCCGUCGUGAAGAGGGAAACAACCCAGACCGCCAGCUAAGGUCCCAAAGUCAUGGUUAAGUGGGAAACGAUGUGGGAAGGCCCAGACAGCCAGGAUGUUGGCUUAGAAGCAGCCAUCAUUUAAAGAAAGCGUAAUAGCUCACUGGUCGAGUCGGCCUGCGCGGAAGAUGUAACGGGGCUAAACCAUGCACCGAAGCUGCGGCAGCGACGCUGAUGCGUUGUUGGGUAGGGGAGCGUUCUGUAAGCCUGUGAAGGUGUGCUGUGAGGCAUGCUGGAGGUAUCAGAAGUGCGAAUGCUGACAUAAGUAACGAUAAAGCGGGUGAAAAGCCCGCUCGCCGGAAGACCAAGGGUUCCUGUCCAACGUUAAUCGGGGCAGGGUGAGUCGACCCCUAAGGCGAGGCCGAAAGGCGUAGUCGAUGGGAAACAGGUUAAUAUUCCUGUACUUGGUGUUACUGCGAAGGGGGGACGGAGAAGGCUAUGUUGGCCGGGCGACGGUUGUCCCGGUUUAAGCGUGUAGGCUGGUUUUCCAGGCAAAUCCGGAAAAUCAAGGCUGAGGCGUGAUGACGAGGCACUACGGUGCUGAAGCAACAAAUGCCCUGCUUCCAGGAAAAGCCUCUAAGCAUCAGGUAACAUCAAAUCGUACCCCAAACCGACACAGGUGGUCAGGUAGAGAAUACCAAGGCGCUUGAGAGAACUCGGGUGAAGGAACUAGGCAAAAUGGUGCCGUAACUUCGGGAGAAGGCACGCUGAUAUGUAGGUGAAGUCCCUCGCGGAUGGAGCUGAAAUCAGUCGAAGAUACCAGCUGGCUGCAACUGUUUAUUAAAAACACAGCACUGUGCAAACACGAAAGUGGACGUAUACGGUGUGACGCCUGCCCGGUGCCGGAAGGUUAAUUGAUGGGGUCAGCGCAAGCGAAGCUCUUGAUCGAAGCCCCGGUAAACGGCGGCCGUAACUAUAACGGUCCUAAGGUAGCGAAAUUCCUUGUCGGGUAAGUUCCGACCUGCACGAAUGGCGUAAUGAUGGCCAGGCUGUCUCCACCCGAGACUCAGUGAAAUUGAACUCGCUGUGAAGAUGCAGUGUACCCGCGGCAAGACGGAAAGACCCCGUGAACCUUUACUAUAGCUUGACACUGAACAUUGAGCCUUGAUGUGUAGGAUAGGUGGGAGGCUUAGAAGUGUGGACGCCAGUCUGCAUGGAGCCGACCUUGAAAUACCACCCUUUAAUGUUUGAUGUUCUAACGUGGACCCGUGAUCCGGGUUGCGGACAGUGUCUGGUGGGUAGUUUGACUGGGGCGGUCUCCUCCUAAAGAGUAACGGAGGAGCACGAAGGUUGGCUAAUCCUGGUCGGACAUCAGGAGGUUAGUGCAAUGGCAUAAGCCAGCUUGACUGCGAGCGUGACGGCGCGAGCAGGUGCGAAAGCAGGUCAUAGUGAUCCGGUGGUUCUGAAUGGAAGGGCCAUCGCUCAACGGAUAAAAGGUACUCCGGGGAUAACAGGCUGAUACCGCCCAAGAGUUCAUAUCGACGGCGGUGUUUGGCACCUCGAUGUCGGCUCAUCACAUCCUGGGGCUGAAGUAGGUCCCAAGGGUAUGGCUGUUCGCCAUUUAAAGUGGUACGCGAGCUGGGUUUAGAACGUCGUGAGACAGUUCGGUCCCUAUCUGCCGUGGGCGCUGGAGAACUGAGGGGGGCUGCUCCUAGUACGAGAGGACCGGAGUGGACGCAUCACUGGUGUUCGGGUUGUCAUGCCAAUGGCACUGCCCGGUAGCUAAAUGCGGAAGAGAUAAGUGCUGAAAGCAUCUAAGCACGAAACUUGCCCCGAGAUGAGUUCUCCCUGACCCUUUAAGGGUCCUGAAGGAACGUUGAAGACGAUGACGUUGAUAGGCCGGGUGUGUAAGCGCAGCGAUGCGUUGAGCUAACCGGUACUAAUGAACCGUGAGGCUUAACCUUACAACGCCGAAGCUGUU